UCUAAAGGAUCCCAACAGCUAACAGAAAAUGAAAACUCAACUGACUCAGAAGAAGAAAAAUCGAAAACAAAAAAAGGCAUUAAGCGUUCAGUCUCUGGUGCAGCCUGUAAGUGUCAAGGCAAUUGUGCUACGGCUCGUUGUGGAUGUUGCAGGGGUGAACGGCACUGUACUGAGCAGUGCAAGUGCACCUCAGAAAAAUGUUUGAAUCGGGAUAACGAGAAAGAAAGAGAUGUCUUUCUCAACACUACUUUUAACAUCAGUGAGUCAAACUCCACCACUGAACAGUGUAAGGCUUUGAACGAUCAAAACGGUCAGGUAAUGGCAGGCAAGAAAU